UACGAAGGGGGCUAGCGUUGUUCGGAAUUACUGGGCGUAAAGCGCACGUAGGCGGACUAUUAAGUCAGGGGUGAAAUCCCGGGGCUCAACCCCGGAACUGCCUCUGAUACUGGUAGUCUCGAGUCCGGAAGAGGUGAGUGGAAUUCCGAGUGUAGAGGUGAAAUUCGUAGAUAUUCGGAGGAACACCAGUGGCGAAGGCGGCUCACUGGUCCGGUACUGACGCUGAGGUGCGAAAGCGUGGGGAGCAAACAGG
rnacentral:rRNA from 1 species